GCAAACCAAAAUCCUAAGUUGAUAAGAUGAUAAGAUUGUGUUGCAGUCGCCGUUGCUAAGGUAUCAAACCGUGGUCCUCGCUGUUGUUGUAAUGAGCCUCGUGGAGGAGAAGCGUGCGGACUCGUCGUUCUCGCUUGUCACCGUCAAUCAUCACCAUUGGUCAUUCAAGCACCAUGUUUCAUCGGGGAUGUCAGCCGCUGUCAUCGGAGCAGCUGUAGUCAUCGUCGAGGCCGUUAUGGGUAAGGAAACCCUAGAUUGCUUUGUAACUUGCGCGUAAAGUUUCUAGCUUUAUCUUAUUAUUGGUUGUUGUUGUUGUUUCAUUGUUGAUCCAUGAGGACUGAAAGCCACCGUGAACUUGAGCCACUUCACAUCUUAUGUUACCGAGCCUUGUAUGUUACUUGAAUAGUGGAGCAGAUCCGUCCGAGUGUAAACGCUAAGAAAGACUGAGGUUGUUAUUACAACAGAAUUUAUUGUUGCAAGUGCUAAACCAAGGAGUAAAUCUAAUGGCUAAGGUGAGGGUGGUAUUUGCGGAUAACAGUAACCUCCUUCCUUAUGUACUCUUCGAUAGUUGCUAAGUAUAGACUUAAGAAUUGUUUGUUGAUUGAAACUGUUUGUGAGGGUUUGUGUGUAAGGUAAAAUAGGUAUUGUAAAACACUGGAAUGGACUUCUAUAACCGGCCUCCUAUGAGUCCUAUACUUUACGGUCCAUUGUACCAAGACUCAUUGGCCAUAUCUUUAGCUUAUGUCGGUUUAACUUAGUCUUUGUGUUUACUAUAUAUAUGUAACCUCGGACACCUUAUGAGUAAUAAGAACAAGAGAUUUCAUUC